CUAAAGAUAGCUUAAUUUUUUUAUAGUUUAAAGUAGAGGAUUCUUGAUCCUUUGAUGUCACGGUGUAUUUAUGGACUCUUUAGG
rnacentral:tRNA from 1 species